rnacentral:rRNA from 1 species
AUACGGAGGGUGCAAGCGUUGUUCGGAAUCACUGGGCGUAAAGGGCGCGCAGGCGGUCUGGUAAGUCAGAUGUGAAAGCCCAUGGCUCAACCAUGGAAGUGCAUUUGAAACUGUCAGACUUGAGUACUAGAGGGGAAAGUGGAAUUCCCGGUGUAGAGGUGAAAUUCGUAGAUAUCGGGAGGAAUACCGGUGGCGAAGGCGACUUUCUGGCUAGAUACUGACGCUGAGGCGCGAAAGCGUGGGGAGCAAACAGGAUUAGAAACCCGGGUAGUCC